UGGUAAGUGAUAUUUUUGUUCAUUGAAAAGUACAUAUUUAUUGGUGUCCACUAUGUGCCAGGUAUAGUUCUAAGUGCCAAGUAUGAGUCAGGGAGGAAAACAACAAAACAAAAGUAUACUUCAAUUGAAAUAAGCCAACACAGAAAUACAGCUUUACUCUUCUUAAAUUUUUUUUAUGAUGGUAAAGCUGCAUUUUAUUUUAUUUUAUUUUUAUAUUGUUAUUUCCCCAAUAUAAUUUUUUUUCUACUGUACAGCAUGGUGACCCAGCUAUACAUACACAUAUACAUUCUUUAUGAUCCCAUUAUCAUGUUCCAUCAUAAGUGACUAGACAGAGUUCCCAGUGCUACACAGCAGGGUCUCAUUGCUAAUCCAUUCCAAAAGCAAUAGUUUGCAUCCAUUAACCACAAGCUCCCAAUCCAUCCCACUCCCUUCCCCUCCCCCCAGGCAACCACAAGUCACUUCUCCAAGUCCACGAUUUUCUUUUCUAUGGAAAGGUACAUUUGCGCUGUAUGUUAGAUACCAGAUAUGAGUGAUAUCAUAUGGUAUUUGUCUUUCUCUCUCUGACUGACUUCACUCAGGAUGAGAGUCUCUAGUUCCUUCCAUGUUGCUGCAAAUGGCAUUAUUUUGUUCUUUUUUAUGGCUGAGUAGUAUUCCAUUGUGUAUAUAUGCCACAUCUUCUUAAUCCAAUCAUCUGUCAAUGAACAUUUGGGUUGUUUCCAUGUCUUGGCUAUUGUGAAUAGAGCUGCAAUGAACAUGCGGGUGCAUGUGUCUUUUUCAAGGAGAGUUUUGUCCAGAUAUAUGCCCAAGAGUGGGAUUGCUGGGUCACAUAGUAGUUCUAUGUAUAGUUUUCUAGAGGUACCUCCAUACUGUUCUCCAUAGUGGUUGUACCAGCUUGCAUUCCCACCAACAGUGCAGGAGGGUUCCCUUUUUGCCACACCCCCUCCAGCAUUUGUUAUUUGUGGACUUAUUAAUGAUGGCCAUUCUGACUGGUGUGAGGUGGUAUCUCAUGGUAGUUUUGUUUUGCAUUUCUCUAAUAAUCAGGAUGGUGAACAUUUGGUCAUGUGCUUGUUGGCCAUCUGUACAUCUUCCUUGGAGAAAUGUCUCUUCAGGUCUUUUGCCCAUUUUUCAAAUGGGUUGUUGGCUAUUUUGUGUUGAGUUGUGUAAGUUGCUUGUAUAUUUUAGAGAUUCGGCCCUUGUCAGUUGCAUCAUUUGAAACUAUUUUCUCCCAUUCUGUAAGUUAUCUUUUUGUUUUCUUUUUGGUUUCCUUUGCUGUGCAAAAGCUUUUCAGUUUGAUGAGGUCCCAUGGGUUUAUUUUUGCUCUAAUUUCUAUUGCUUUGGGAGACUGACCUGAGAAAAUAUUCAUGAUGUUGAUGUCCGAGAGUGUUUUGCCUAUGUUUUCUUCUAGGAGUUUGAUGGUGUCCUGUCUUAUAUUUAAGUCUUUCAGCCAUUUGGAGUUUAUUUUUGUGCAUGGUGUGAGGAUGUGUUCUAGUUUCAUUGAUCUGCAUGUAGCUGUCCAGGUUUCCCAGCAAUGCUUGCUGAAUAGACUGUCUUUUCCCCAUUUGAUGUUCUUGCCUCCUUUGUCAAAGAUUAAUUGACCGUAGGUGUCAGGGUUUAUUUCUGGGUUCUCUAUUCUGUUCCAUUGGUCUGUCUGUCUGUUUUGGUACCAGUACCACACUGUCUUGAUGACUGUGGCUUUAUAAUAUUGCAUGAAGUCUGGGAGAGUUAUGCCUCCUGCUUGGUUUUUGUUCCUUGUAAUUGCUUUGGCGAUUCUGGGUCUUUUGUGGUUUCAUAUAAAUUUUUGGAUUGUUUGUUCUAGUUCUGUGAACAAUGUCAUGGGUAAUUUGAUAGGGAUUGCAUUGAAUCUGUAGAUUGCUUUGGGUGGUAUGACUAUUUUUACAAUAUUAAUUUUUCCACUCCAGGAACAUGGAAUAUCAUUCCAUUUUUUAACAUCUUCUUUAAUUUCCUUGAUGAAUGUUUUACAGUUCUCGGCAUAUAAGUCCUUUACCUCCUUGGUCAGGUGUAUUCCCAGGUAUUUGAUUUUUUGGGGUGCAAUUUUAAAAGGUAUUGUGUUUUUGUAUUCCUUUUCUAAUAUUUCAUUGUUAGUAUACAGAAAUGCAACUGAUUUCUGAAUGUUAAUCUUAUAUCCUGCUACUUUGCUGAAUUUGUUGAUCAGUUCAAGUAGUCUCCUUAAAUUUUCACUCUAGUAAGAAAAGAUAGAAUACAUACAAGUCAACAAGUUAUCAACCAGCAUGUCAGAUGUUGGUGAAGGGUACUUUGGAGGUCAAUAAAGGGCAGAGGGUGUGAGAAAAACCUAGGUCUGAGCACUGGGCAAAGGAAAGGGUACCUGUUUAUAUAGAAUAAUCUGAGAAGACCUCUCAGGUACCAUCUGAAGUAAGGUAAAUUUGAGAGUAAUGCCAAGGUAAAUCAUGGCAUUAAGAUGAUCAACAGUAAUGAAAACAUUUUUUUUUUUGGCCAUGCCCAUGGCUUGUAGAAGUUCCCUGGCCAGGGAUCAAACCAGUGCCACAUCAGCGACCUGAGCCACAGCAGUAAAAAUGCUGGGUCCUUAACCUGCUGUACCACAGGAGAACUCCAAAAACAAUUAUUUUUAUGUGACUGCACUCUAAAUUAAAAUUAUAAAAAUAAACUUUUAAAAAAUGCGUACUAUAUUGGUUAGAAAAAACGGGGAUUUCAUCAGAGGGUAGUGGUUAGUUUAUCAGUUUGACUUAAAUAGUGAGAACUUUUCUCAAUCAAGGAUUUUUUGCCCUGUUGUUUAUGUAGAACAGUCACAGAGUUUCCCUUCCUCUUAAUAGUUCUGAUUUAUUGGGUGUCUUGGAUGUGCCAGACAUUUUAAAUCUGUGACCUUAUCUUUCAAUCCCACAAGGAUGCUGAAAUAUAGGUACUGCUAUAACUCAUUAUGGGUGUCUGAGGAAACUAUGUUUAGUUAUCUAAUUGAAUCCUUACAAUAAUCUGUGACUCAAGUAUUUCUAACUCAAUUUUAAACAAAAGAAAAUGCUAUCAGAAUUAAUGUGCUCCAAGGUCACACACCCACACUGAGAUUUUCACUUAGUUUUGCCUGCCUCCCCUUCCACUCACCAUUGCAUUCCUACUGCUGAGCAUGAGGCUUAGCACUUAGCAUAUACUCUGUCAGUAGUUCUUGAAUGAAUGAAAAUACUUUUUUCCCCUUACAAUGUAUGCAUUCACCAUAUCUGUAAACCUGGUGAUCAUGCUGGGCCCUGCCUGCCUGACCACUGAGAAAAAUGUAGAAAAGAACAAAUCAAACACUUUGCAGAAAGGUAUAAGGCAGGUGCAAAUAUCUGGAUGAAGGCACCUUUAAAAUCCCAAUUUUGUUCAUUAAACAUUUCUUUAAGACUUUCUCCAGGUAGCACUCUAUCCUAUCUUCUGAAAGAAGUGCUUAGGUCAGGCUGGAUCAAAAGGGAUAUUUUUAUAGGGGUUCAAAUGAGACUUUUGAGUGUGCUGCCAGGUAUCAUUGGAAACUGAUCAGUAUUUCUCCCCAGCCUUGAUGACUUAACCAGUAUACUCAUUCUUGCGCCAGCAGCCUUAUCUCUAGGAUUUGUCCUGGGCACCUUCCUUUGCCAGGUCCGACUCGCUGUCUCUUGCUCUAAUCUCAUGGGCUCUCUCAAACUUUUGGCUCCAUUCUGUGGUCCUGACUUUGGCUUCCAGCCUUCCUUGUCUUCAGGAUCCAUUAGAGACAUGCUCUUUGUGCUCAUCUGGGAAGACUCUCUUGGAGGCUGUUGGGCUGCUGCCUCUCUGGCUCCAGUCUUCUGACAGCUGGGGGUGACCCUCUGCCCUGUUUGUGGCAGCCUGGCUCUGAGGACCAGCAGUCCUACCCUUGAAUGGGGAUAGAUAGACAACUCUAGAAACUUUCUAGCCUUCCCAGUUCUGCCUAAUUUAACUAAUGAUUAUGAACAUAAACAUGGUUUUGAUUGAACACUGCAUCUGAUGGUAUAAUCACCAAAGCAGAAUGAGUUGCCCUGUUAAUGUAACAUUGUUUAAUGAAAUAGUUCCCACACACUCUGAAAUUUUAUUUGUAAACUAGCUUAACUUAGCCAGAGAGAUAAACUGUCAGUGAAUUUCCUUCCAAUUGGACUUGCAAAAUUAGCUAAGAUUUCCAAGAGUGUGGCUCCAAGAGUGUCCCAGACUUUAGGGGCCUGAUUUAACAUCCCAAAUUUAUCAUUUCUCCUUUGUGCCUGGAAUCUAUGUGGACCAACAUCUCCAGGUCUUUUUUACCAAGUCUUAGGUCAUUCUCCAGGGAGCCCUCAUGGUCCCAGACUCAGCUUGUGUACCUCUCCUUGAAAUGGGCCACUUUCACCCAUUGCAUUAGUGAUCCUUUGGAGAGAGAUUCCUUAGAUCAGAAAUAUACUGUGCAAUCUACAGGAAGAAGGGUCACAUCUAGGACAUGUACUCCUUGUUGCCACAUCCAACCUUAAGAUGAUUUCCUCAGCAACCGAGGAGAUAUUCUGACAGCAAACCUGUGGCAUGGCAUUUCAUUUUAAUGGUUCAACAUCCAUCCCUAGAAUUUGGGGAACACAAACUAGAAUUUGCUUUGGGCCAUUAACCUCCCCUUCCAUGAGUCCUUGUGCACAUGCCGGCUUAACCAUGUCUAAUCAGAGUACUGCAGUCUUCUGGCAAAUGGCUUUUGGUUUAGGGAUGGGCCCAUAAUUCAAGCUGAGCGAAUGAAAUGUACUCUUCAAACUUUUGCUUCUCCUGUUGGAAAAUACAUUCUCUCAUCUCUUCUGGGAUUGUACCCAUGGAGAUGUGAAUAGGGAGGUAUGGAGAGUCUUGCAACUAGGAAGGGAAUGCCUGAAUGAGAACAGAGCUGAUGCAGAAGAAAGCAGAAACAGGAAAUGAGAGUCUGGUUGUAAAUAACUAGAAUCAAGCCAGGUUUACCCCUAGAUUUUUCAUUUAAGAAAACCAACACUGUCCCUUUAUUUCCUUAAGCCAUUCUGGGAUGAAUUUCUUUGACCUGGAAUUGCAAGAAUUCUGACUAAAUCAAAACAAUUUCAUUUCUUUGCAUCCCUCCAGUGCAUCUUAAAGAAGUGUGUUUUUUUUUUUUUGGUGUUUUGGUAAUACACCAAACCUAUUAUGCAGCAUCUAUCCCCAUUCUCAUUGACUUACUAGCUUCAUACGUUUGUUGUAAAUCUCAAAUGCACAUUUUAUUAUGAAAAUUUUCAAGCAUACACCCAAGAGUUGAGAGAAUUUACAGCUAACAAUCAUGAAUCUGUCACCCACUUCCUAUCAUAAACACUUGACUUCACCUGAUUUAUCACAUUUAUCCCUCGAUCCAUCUCUCAAUCCAUCUUAUUUUGGGGUGCCUUUCAAACUAAGUUACAGACAUCAUUACACAUAUUGCUAAAUACUUUGCAUACAGCUUAGCUCUUAAUUCAAUGAAACUUUUGGCAGCUCAUUGUCACUGGGGACAAUUUUAGAUUCCUCAUCUAAAAAAAUGAGGGGGUUGUUUUAGAUGACCUCCAAGUAUCCUUUCCAGUGCUGAAAUUCUACUGUUAUCUGAUAUUUGCCUUUUUUAACUGAUGGGCCCGCUUGUGCAAAAUGUUCUCUGGUUGGAUUUGAAAAGGAUUAAUAUGAAAAGUAUAUUUUGUUUAUCUAUGGGAUAUUGCCCUAAUUAAAGUGUGUUUGCUAACCAACCCAUUGUGAUUUGGAGCUAAAGCAGAUGUUUUGGGGGGUCUAGGGAAAAUAAAGGGUCAGGGGGAAUAUUCUCAAAGUUAUGGGAGGAGUAGGGUCUUAACAAGGAUAAGAGCAUGCUAGAGAAAAUGAGUUCUAAUGAAAAUUAAACUCUACCCAUCCUGGAGAGAGCAUUAAAAGUAUGAUGGGCAGACAGUAAAACAGAAGUCAGAGGUCUGAGGCCAUUGAACCUGACAGCAUUAGCAUUGUUCCUAGUUUAGUUCACGUUGGGGCAUCUCUCAGAUAAUCUUUCACAUAGAUGGUCUUUAGGAACUGAGAAAAUGGCUUAAAC
rnacentral:lncRNA from 1 species